GUUGGUGCAGCUGAGGAGUUAAGAGUCUGAUCUCUGGAGGUAGAGCGCCUGGACUGAACCCUCGUUCUGUCACUUACAAGGCAGAGGCAGGUUCUGUGGAAGCUGGCUUUGCAGACUGUGUAAUCCUGUCUCCACGAGGGACCAGGACCACAGCCUGGGAACAGCAGCAACCCCACUGGUGAAGAGGAGACACACAGACACAAACAGGGAAGGCCUUAUUUAUGAUGGAGGCGAGGACUGAAGUCAUGCAUCUGUAAGGCAAGGAACCCAAGGACCGCCGGCCACCAUCAGCAGCUAGAACAGAAGCAUGCUCAGAUACUCCCUCAGCAUCC